AUCCCAAUGGGGAGCACUUAUUAGCUAUGUAAGAAUCAUAAGUGCUCUCUGUUAGGGUGA
rnacentral:pre_miRNA from 1 species